GAUGAACGCUGGCGGUACGCUUAACACAUGCAAGUCGAACGAGAUUAAUUGGAGCUUGCUCUGAUUAAUUUAGUGGCAUACGGGUGAGUAAUGCACAGGAAUCUGCCCCUAGGUGAGGAAUAGCUUGAGGAAACUCGAAUUAAUUCCACAUGACGCCGAAAGGUAAAAGUCGCAAGACGCCAAGGGAUGAGCCUGUGUCCGAUUAGCUAGUUGGUAGAGUAAUAGCCUACCAAGGCCACGAUCGGUAGCUGGUUUGAGAAGAUGAUCAGCCACAGUGGAACUGAGACACGGUCCAC
rnacentral:rRNA from 1 species